GGGCCACCUGGACUCAACUCUCUGGGGAUAGAGUGCAGUUAUCUGCAUUCUUAAUCAGCUUCCUAUGAUUCAGGAGCUUAUUGAGGAUCUUUCAAAUUUUUUUCUGAAAAAAGUGACAGGCUGGAACGUUCACAGUUCUGAUCAGCUUUUCCCAGUGACUGCUUGCUGCCACAGUGGGGGUUCCUAACCUUUAUUUGUGCCAUGAUCUGGGGGUCUGGUUGAGAGCACCUUGGGAGCAAUAGAUUGUGAUUAUUUCACAACCAGAUCCUGAAAGCCAAGCUCUGGGACUUUCCUCAUAAUGCUUGAAGAAAAAGAUGGGAGCAUAUAUAGAUGACCAUUUACUCAUCCAAACUCUAGACGUGCCUGCUUCAUGUCAAGGCUUCUUUAAACAUCUGUGAACUCCUCUGGGACCAACGUUGAAGUUACCAGGAUGUUUCUCACAAAUCCUGACACUGUUCCUGGCAUACCGGCAGUUGUCUCCUGAGGAUUUCAGAAUGAAAGAGCAGGGGCCGUGCUGGCUGCACACUCUGCUUCUGAGGGAAGUAAAAUCUACCAUGUCAUAUAUAUUUGGCCAUUCUUUGUAACUAUAUCAUUGAGCAGAGAAGUCUUUAAACUUCCUUAAUGACAUGGAAAACUAGACAAGCAUAAUGAAAGAAUCAUGCAUAACACUGGGAAUGAUAAAUAAUCCCAAAGAGAUCACAGAUGUUCUGUCAUAAGUACUUUAAUAAACUUCAUAAAGCUGUUUCCAAAUAAAAGCAUAUCCUCCAAUGGCAGUAAUUAGAAUCUGUAAUAGAACCAAACAAAGAAUUAGAAGAGAUCAUUUACUGUGAAUAAACACGCUACAUUUGCCCACCUGCAUUUUCUACAGCUUUGUAAAAGACACAUGAGUCAGGGUCAUGACAUAAGAGAACACUGUGCUGUAUUCUUAAAACUAGACCCUGUAUAAUGGACUAGAGAUAGAGCUUCUCCUUCUUAUCCUGCCAUUACUUUAUAAAGUGAAGAAAAGCGAAUCAAUUAAUGCCUGUGUGCCUUAAUUUCCUAAACUCUAAAAUGAGUAUUAUAUUUGCCUUACCUGUCUCUCAGGGUGGCUAUGAGGAUUAAAUGAAGGAAUAUAACAGAUUUCUGGGAAAUAAACAUAAAAAUCUCUUUAUCCAGGCAUUUUGUGAUGAUUCUAGCUAUAGCAAUCGCCCAUUACUGAUACAAGUCUAUAUGGUUUCUUUCAUAAUCUUCAGUGAAGAUAUUCCAAUUGCCAAAGCCUUCAAUUUCAGUUUCUGUGUUUUCUCUCCUAAAGACCAUGUUGUUUCAGUUGUUAUAACUUUUUAAAAUAUUUAUUUGUCUGGCUGUGCUGGGUCUUCGUUGCAGUGCAGCAUCUGGGAUCUUUAACUGUGGCAUGUGGAAUCUUUAGCUGCAGCAUAGGAACUCUUAGUUGAGACAUGUGGGAUCUGGUUCCCUGACCAGGGACCAAACCCAGGACCCCUGUAUUGGGAGGGCAGAGUCUUAGGCACUGAUCAACAGAGAAGUCCCCCAG
ensembl:lncRNA